rnacentral:rRNA from 1 species
UAGGGAAUCUUCGGCAAUGGACGAAAGUCUGACCGAGCAACGCCGCGUGAGUGAAGAAGGUUUUCGGAUCGUAAAACUCUGUUGUUAGAGAAGAACAAGGACGUUAGUAACUGAACGUCCCUUGACGGUACCUAACCAGAAAGCCACGGCUAUCUACGUGCCAGCAGCCGCGGUAAUACGUAGGUGGCAAGCGUUGUCCGGUUUUAUUGGGCGUAAAGCGAGCGAAGGCGGUUUCUUAUGUCGGAUGGGAAAGCCCCCGGCUCAACCGGGGAGGGUAAUUGGAAACUGGGAGAAUUGAGUGCAGAAGAGGAGAGUGGAAUUCCAUGUGUAGCGGUGAAGUGCGUAGAUAUAUGGGGGAACACCAGUGGUGAAGGCGGCUCUCUGGUCUGUAACUGACGCUGAGGCUCGAAAGCGUGGGGAGCAAACAGG